CAGGAUUCCACACUCUGGCAACAAAAGAGGCUAAACCUGAUUCACAAGACGAAAUGAAAGAAUAAAAGAAAUGAAGAAGGGCCUCUCUGUUUCCUCCCAAAGGUCACAAGCACCUGGGCUCUGUGGCAAACUAGCACCUCUCCUACAUCCAGCCGAAAUCGCCUCUUACCUGGGGAACGCUGUUGGAGCUGAACCGAUCAGGUGAAAAAAGCGAAACUUGCUGCUUUGCUUUGGUAGGUUUCACCCCUCAGCACAUCAUCUGCUGCCAGGGCUCCCUGAAGAAGCCACCUCAUUUUAAAUACAGCUUUACUGCAUCUUGGGGCUGGAGGGCCAUGGCACCAGCCCUGAGGGUCGCUGCUCCCAGGAUCCGCUCUUUUCCCUCAUGGCUCCUCAGAUAACUGGGAAGGACAACAUCCCAUCCACAAAGGCACUGGAUGUGGGUGUCCAGGAAUUGUCCUGUUCUGGGCACGACCAGAAUUCCUUCCAAUUCCAAGGGCUGCACAGCCAGGCCCCUCAUCAAGCCGGGGGCACCUCAGGGGGGCAGGGAACGAGAGGGGACAAAAUGGCGCCUGGCAGUGAGGCCUGAGGGGAAAAAACGUGAGGGGAAAAAGCACAGGGGGAAAAAGUACAAAGAGAAAAAGCCCAGGAGGAAAAAGAAGAUGGGGGAAAGUGAGAGUGGGGAAAAAGUGCAAGGGGAAAAGUGUGAGGGGGAAAAGUGUGAGGGGGAAAAGUGUGAGGGGAGAAGUGUGAGCGGGAAAAGUGUGAGCGGGAAAAGUGUGAGCGGGAAAAGUGUGAGGGGGAAAGUGUGAGCAGGAAAAGUGUGAGGGGAAAAGUGUGGGGAAAAGUGUGAGGGGGAAAAGUGCGAGCGGGAAAAGUGUGAGGGAAAAGUGUGAGGGGAAAAGUGCGAGUGGGAAAAGUGUGAGUGGGAAAGUGGGAGCAGGAAAAAAUGUGAGAAGAGUGUGAGGGGGGAAAGCUUGACAGGAAAAUGUGAAAUGAGGAAAAGCGUGAGGGAGGGAAAAGUGGGAGUGCCUCCAUGAGCCCCAUCUCAUCGAGGCAAGACAAGACCACUGGUUUGCCCAAGAUCCUCUCUCCUCUGAAAGGAUCCACAUCUCCAGGAUCUGGAUACUGCCUGCUAGUAGACCAGGAUUUGGGAAAGGAAAAUCCAAUCUGUUGCUCUCUUAGGCCAGGGUUCAG
rnacentral:lncRNA from 12 species